ACCUCUGUAACUCAGCGGAAGAGUAGCGGACUUCUAAUCCGUUUGUCGCAGGUUCGAUUCCUGCCAGGGGUGCUA
rnacentral:tRNA from 1 species